rnacentral:rRNA from 1 species
UACGUAGGGGGCAAGCGUUGUCCGGAUUUAUUGGGCGUAAAGAGCGUGUAGGCGGCCAGAUAGGUCAGCUGUGAAAACUCGAGGCUCAACCUCGAGAUGUCGGCUGAAACCAUCUGGCUAGAGUCCGGAAGAGGAGAAUGGAAUUCCCGGUGUAGCGGUGAAAUGCGCAGAUAUCGGGAAGAACACCAGUAGCGAAGGCGGCUCGCUGGGCCACACCUGACGCUGAGACGCGAAAGCUAGGGGAGCGAACAGG